GACAGAGGGUGCAAACGUUGCUCGGAAUUACUGGGCGUAAAGCGCGUGUAGGCGGGGAGAUAAGUCCGGUGUGAAAUCCCUGGGCUCAACCUAGGAACUGCAUCCGAAACUGUUUUUCUGGAGUGAUGGAGAGGAGAGCGGAAUUCCCGGUGUAGAGGUGAAAUUCGUAGAUAUCGGGAGGAACACCAGUGGCGAAGGCGGCUCUCUGGCCAUCAACUGACGCUGAGACGCGAAAGCGUGGGGAGCAAACAGG
rnacentral:rRNA from 1 species